AACGCGAAGAACCUUACCUACUCUUGACAUCCACGGAACUUGGCAGAGAUGCCUUGGUGCCUUCGGGAACCGUGAGACAGGUGCUGCAUGGCUGUCGUCAGCUCGUGUUGUGAAAUGUUGGGUUAAGUCCCGCAACGAGCGCAACCCUUAUCCUUUGUUGCCAGCGGGUAAUGCCGGGAACUCAAAGGAGACUGCCAGUGAUAAACUGGAGGAAGGUGGGGAUGACGUCAAGUCAUCAUGGCCCUUACGAGUAGGGCUACACACGUGCUACAAUGGCGCAUACAAAGAGAAGCGACCUCGCGAGAGCAAGCGGACCUCAUAAAGUGCGUCGUAGUCCGGAUCGGAGUCUGCAAAUUGACUCCAAAAACUCAAAGGGUUUGUCUCGACUCAGAUGUUUUGCAUACUGCUUAAUG
rnacentral:rRNA from 1 species